UUGCGCGUAAAAUGCCCGAAUCCUGACACAGGGAGGUAGUGACAAGAAAUAACAAUACAGGGCUACAUCUAGUCUUGUAAUUGGAAUGAGUACAAUUUACAUCUCUUCACGAGGAUCAAUUGGAGGGCAAGUCUGGUGCCAGCAGCCGCGGUAAUUCCAGCUCCAAUAGCGUAUAUUAAAGUUGUUGCAGUUAGAACGCUCGUAGUCGGAUUUCGGGGCGGGUCGACCGGUCUGCCGAUGGGUACGCACUGGCCGACGCGUCCUUCCUUCCGGAGACCGUCUCACUCUUAACUGAGCGGAGGCGGGAGACGGAACGUUUACUUUGAAAAAAUCAGAGUGUUUCAAGCAGGCAGCUCGCUCUUGCAUGGAUUAGCAUGGGAUAAUGAAAUAGGACUUUGGUGCUAUUUUGUUGGUUUCGAACACCGAAGUAAUGAUGAGCAGGGACAGUCAGGGGCCUCCGUAUUCCAA
rnacentral:rRNA from 1 species